GCAGAAUAAUAAAAACAUCAAAAGUUCAGCUAAGGGAGCAAUAGAUAAUAAGACUCAACAGAUUGAUGGUGAGCAGUGCUCCAGAUAUGGCAAAAAUCAUGCAUACAAGGAUUGCCAUUGAAAUAUAGGUGCUUGUUUCAAAUGUGGUCAGAUGGAUCAUAAAAUGCUAGCUGCCCGCUAAAUACUAAAAAUCAAGUUGGCCAAAGAACUUAUGAAGGACAACAUAAGGGUGGUGGACAGAUUUCUAAAAUCCAGGGA
rnacentral:lncRNA from 1 species